GACGAACGCUGGCGGCGUGCUUAACACAUGCAAGUCGAACGGAAAGGCCCUGCUUUUGUGGGGUGCUCGAGUGGCGAACGGGUGAGUAACACGUGAGUAACCUGCCCUUGACUUUGGGAUAACUUCAGGAAACUGGGGCUAAUACCGGAUAGGAGCUCCUGCUGCAUGGUGGGGGUUGGAAAGUUUCGGCGGUUGGGGAUGGACUCGCGGCUUAUCAGCUUGUUGGUGGGGUAGUGGCUUACCAAGGCUUUGACGGGUAGCCGGCCUGAGAGGGUGACCGGCCACAUUGGAACGGGGAUACGGCCCAGACUCCUACGGGAGGAAGCGGUGGGGAAUAUUGCAAAAUGGGCGGAAGCCUGAGGAGGAAACGCGGGGGGGGGAAUGACGCCCUUCGGGUUGAAAACCGCUUUCGCCGGGAACGAAGCGUGGGUGACGGUAAUGGGUAAGGAAGCACCGGCUAAUUACGU
rnacentral:rRNA from 1 species